ACCUUAAUAGAAGAAGAAGACGUCAAGACGAUCGAGGCAGACUGACUGCACGCUGUUAAAACUUCACCAAGAUCGGUGUUGGACCGGCGAACACUUAGGCCUAUGUUAUCAGAGGACUUGCUAACAUGAAGAAAACGGUCCAGAGCUUCCACCUGAGAGCCGGGACUGUCAAAUAGUAAG